rnacentral:lncRNA from 1 species
UGAGUUGAUGCAUGGCAUGCAUCAACUCUUUUGAAUAUUCUUCACCGUUAGAUAUAAGAAAAAUUUGAAUAUAUCUAACGGCUUAGAUUAUUCAAUAUUGGUAAUUUGUUUAUCAGGUAGCAUGUAAUUCUAUAAUUUAUAUAUACAAAAUAUAAUCAAAAAUUAAAACAGAAUUUAGAAAACCUAGGUUAUUAGAAACAGAUCGAUUUGCACAACCUAAAGUGAAGAGAAGAGGAGAGCAUCUUCUAUUCUCUGGGAAGCUUUUCCUCUGCAGGGUGUUUGUGCAGCAAACCCCCUAAGGGCGGUCGUCCGUCGUCGUAAAGUAGUUCCCGCAAAGCUUUUGGGAAGAAGGGUAGUCUUGUGUGUAAGCACAGCAUUUGUGGUCGAACCCGCCCAACCCAACUGAGAAGAACCGAACCUGACAGAAGAUUCAGAAGAUUCUCCAUUCAUCUCUAGUUCUCCACCUCAGAAGAUUCUUCUCAAUUUGAAGAAUUUAAGGUAUGAAGUAGUUGUUGGGAGUUGUUGGGUGUUUGGGUUUUUGUUUAGAAUCAAUUUGGGUCUAGUUCUCUGAUUUGUGUUGAUUAUAUAUUGUGCAAUCUCUCCUUCAACCUUCUAUACCUUCUUCUUUGUCUAUGUUCCAGUUGUCAUUCGUUUUACUAAUGGAUGAUCUACUGUAAUUUGAUAAUGGGUUGUGAUUAUUUUAAGGAUUGAUUGAGGAUUUGAUGUCUAUCUAGCUUGAUGUGCUCAGAAUUUGGUCAAUUUUAUGACCAAAUUGAUUUGGAGCAUUUGUGCUUUCUCUGUUUUUGUUCUUUGAUUUGGAAUUUUGAUUGCUGACCAGAAUUUUUGUAUGUCUUAAACUGAUUGCUAUAUAGAAUCCUAUCUGAAUGAUUCUUUGGUUGUACUGUUUGCUUAGAAAAUAGGAAGUCUAUUGAGGUUUUGGGUUAUUACAAUCCCUUGUCAGGUUUGUUCAAUUAGCAUCUGGAGGUACUACUAUACUAGCUUACUGAAUAUAACUAGCAAAACGAGCCGAGUGAUGCUGCGGCUUUAAUCCCUAAAUGUAAUAGAUAAUCUCAUAAUCCUCAUAUGUAUUUGAUGAGGAUCGUAACUAUAUGGCUCUUUUUUUUCGAAGGCUCAAAGUGAUUAGGAAUCAUUGAUGAUAGUUUCUUAACUGGUAACAAAAGACUUUGCAUUUCAAUCA